AAACAACGCAUAGGCCAUGGCGAUACUAAGACAAAGGAACACCGUGAUCUUAUCAAUCACCCUGCUGGUCUCAGAAGUAACAGAUCUAUAUGUGGAGGAAAUCAGCAUUUACAUCAGAAAAAAGAGGAAAACUGAUAUAGAACAACCUAUCAAGGAUAUCCAGCUCAAGGCUUCCUCCUCGUCAUCUACCUAUCAAAGAUAUCAAGAAAAGGUAUGAGAAAUUCACCCAAUGCUAUUCUGUCUCCGGCGUCCAUGGUGAUGUUUCGAUAUGACUUAAAGGUUCCCGAAAGGGGCGUUAAACAAUACGCAAUCAAUAUUCUUUUUUAUUCCUUCAUAUGGAAUGUACAACAACAACCAGCUGAGAAUGACCAGAUUUGUUUUCUCUUACAUGAUUCGGUCAUACUUUUGGAUAUAAAAUCCAUAUGCAUAGCCAAUCAAAAUGCCUUGCUGAAUAAAGUAACAUAUUUGUCAA